UAGUUGGUGAAAGUCCAACCAAAGGAGGGACCAAGCCACCUUUGUAGCUAGGAUGCUUGCGCAUGGCGAAAUCUGUGUGUAAAAGCGCAUCGACAAGAAGGUGGAUGGGUUCAUUCAUUAUCCGAGGUAAAGUAU
rfam:Paenibacillus sp. FSL R5-0912, complete genome.